ACUUUGAACUAGUGAGGACACAGGUAGUUUUGGACUGCCAUCAAGAUUGAAUCUAUAGAUCACAUCUUUGUCCAGAGGAGGGAUGAGAAAGAAGGAAGAAAGUCAUUACUGCAAGUUCAAUUUCCAGGAUAUACUCAUAUGCCAUAGUGAUGGGUAACAUUAGAACUUAAGGAAACAAUCACUAGUGUUAUCAGCUGAGUCAGAAAAUGCAUACUUCCAUGUUGUAACUUCCUCAGAGUCUUUAUUAAGCAAGGUUCAGAACAAAUAUAUUCAAAGUAGUCUCUGUACCUCCAAAAGCUUCCAGACAAGCUGCUUUCACUGAAGUCUUACAACCAUUGUGAGUUAGAAUUUUCUGAUGGACUAAGAAGAGGUUCUUUGAUUUUUCAAGUUUUAAGAAUGAACCGAAUUAUAUAGAAAAACAAAAUUAUCUCAGAUUUCAAAGAGUGAAUGUCAGUGCAAUUUGCACCAUAACACUUCAACGUAUUGUGC
rnacentral:lncRNA from 1 species